UCGACACGAUCAGUUAUGGAGCUUACCCUCCAGCUGGUGGCAUUGGGGUUUCACUUGAUGGGAUCCUAGCUACAGUGUCGUAGAUUAUGUGCCCUUCGGGAGGCACAGGGAGCAUAUUCCAUAAUCAUUGUGUAGUCCCUGGACAGUGACACUUUGAAAAACCAUGUUCGCUACAGCU
rnacentral:snoRNA from 14 species